rnacentral:lncRNA from 1 species
GCAUGAAAUUUGAAUCAAGAGCCCAAUUCAAGACUACUGUUAGAGAGUAUGGCAUUAGAUUGGGAGAGCCAAUGUGGACCAAAAAGAAUGAGCCAAAAAGAGUGAGAACCAAAUGCAAAGAACCAUGUCAGUAGUUUGUCUUUGCUUCGAUUGAGAAGGUACUUGGAACAAAUGAUCUGGUGGUGAAAACAAUGAAUGAUGCACACGAAAACUGUAAUCACGCUUGGAAAAACAAGAAUUUGAAUGCCAAAUGGUUGGCUGAUAGGUAUGUUGAGAGGAUAAGGGUAAACCUUCA